ensembl:lncRNA
CUUGACAACCAGAUCUCCUCUCUGCAGCUGAACAUUUGCUCAUGCGUCAUGGGAAGAACUCAGGGGAGAGCAGCUGCAAACAACACCAUCUGAACAGAGUGCUGAGACCUCAUCACCUCUGUGCCCAGAGCCUGGCUGAGGCUGAGUCAUCAAUAUUGCCACCAGAGCCAUUGUGCAAACCACACAGGUGGUCUGAAUUCUCCAGGAGCCCUGUGAAAACAGCAAAAUGCAACAGAAGAGACGAAUUUUAAUAGUACAUUUUCUUUAACUCAAUCUAUCCAAAACAUUCAUCACCUCAACAUAUAAUCAAUAUAAAAAUGAUCAACAAAACAUUUUAUACUCACUGCAUAUCUCAAUUCAGACCUAAAUUUUCAUUAGAAAUUCUUGGUCUGUAUUUAGACUCCAUAAACUUUGCAGUUGAGAAAAAGGAGAUUCAAAUGUCCAAGUUGUCCCAAGCAUUCUUAAGAGUUUUCCAAUAACUAUAUCAAGUAGCUCUUCUAAAAUUUAAAUGAACUAAAAACACCUGAAAUUUAAAAAUGAAAAGUUCAGCUCCUUGGUCACACGAUCUGGCAUUUCAAGUGUCCAGUAGCCACACGUGGCCAGUGUGCUGAAUAAUGCAGAUGCAGAAUGCUCCACUGGGGCAAGAAGCUUUGCUGGAUGGGAUAAAUCCAGGCUUUUGUGUUCUCUGGGCUGGGGCACUGACUACUGGUUUAUCCAGUAGUCACGUGCAAAUAUGAGAGUUGGACCAUGAAGAAAGCUGAGCGCCGAAGAAUUGAUGCUUUUGAACUGUGGUGUUGGACAAGACUCUUGAGAGUCCCAUGGACUGCAAGGAGAUCCAACCAGUCAAUCCUAAAGGAAAUCAACCCGCAAUAUACAUUGGAAGGGCUAAUGCUAAAGUUGAAGCUCCAAUACUUUGGCCACCUGAUGUGAAGAGCCGACUCACUGGAAAAGACCCUGAUGCUGGGAAAGACUGAGGGCAAAAGGAGAAGAGGGCAGCAGAGGAUGAGAUGGUUAGAUAGCAUCACUGACUCAGUGGACAUGAGUUUGAGCAAACUCCAGGAGAUGGUGAAGGAGAGGGAAGCCCAGUGUGCUGUAGUCCAUGGGGUCGCAAAUAGUCAGACAUGACUGAUUAAUGAUGAAAACACAUCUGGAUGUUGAUUCAGACUCUCAGGGGUUUGGGAUCAGGGCACACACUUCACAUGGCCCCAAAAUGCACCCCCCCCCCACUGCUAAACUUGCAGUACUUUGACAAAACCCCAACAAAAUUCUGCAAACAGCAUGGGUAAGAAAACUCAGAUCCUUUCCAGCUCAGAAUGAGAAGGCAGAUUGAUCUGAUAUUCUCUCUAGAAGUUUGUUUCCUCGAAUCGAUGGGGAUUCAAAGCCUAAAAAUUUUAAGUCUGCUUUUGAGAGACAAAUGCUUCCAAGAGCACACGGAAAAGCCAAGUCUGAGGUGAGCACUUCAGUAAGCAAUUCUAGGCUGGGCCCACGUGGUCCAUUUUCCAUGACAUGUGAGGGUGGCUGGGUGGGUUGUCAGGACCUCAAGCCAGUGGCAGACCGCACUUUGGGCUGGCCACAGGCUACCCUUUUAAUUUAUUGACCACUGUCCCAGGGCCUUGGUCUACUGGUGGGAAUCUCCCCUCAGACCCAAACAAAUAAAUAAUUCAUCCCCAAAGCGGCA